rnacentral:rRNA from 1 species
GCAAGUCGAACGGUAACAGGAAGCAGCUUGCUGCUUCGCUGACGAGUGGCGGACGGGUGAGUAAUGUCUGGGAAGCUGCCUGAUGGAGGGGGAUAACUACUGGAAACGGUAGCUAAUACCGCAUAAUGUCGCAAGACCAAAGAGGGGGACCUUCGGGCCUCUUGCCAUCGGAUGUGCCCAGAUGGGAUUAGCUUGUUGGUGGGGUAACGGCUCACCAAGGCGACGAUCCCUAGCUGGUCUGAGAGGAUGACCAGCCACACUGGAACUGAGACACGGUCCAGACUCCUACGGGAGGCAGCAGUGGGGAAUAUUGCACAAUGGGCGCAAGCCUGAUGCAGCCAUGCCGCGUGUAUGAAGAAGGCCUUCGGGUUGUAAAGUACUUUCAGCGGGGAGGAAGGGAGUAAAGUUAAUACCUUUGCUCAUUGACGUUACCCGCAGAAGAAGCACCGGCUAACUCCGUGCCAGCAGCCGCGGUAAUACGGAGGGUGCAAGCGUUAAUCGGAAUUACUGGGCGUAAAGCGCACGCAGGCGGUUUGUUAAGUCAGAUGUGAAAUCCCCGGGCUCAACCUGGGAACUGCAUCUGAUACUGGCAAGCUUGAGUCUCGUAGAGGGGGGUAGAAUUCCAGGUGUAGCGGUGAAAUGCGUAGAGAUCUGGAGGAAUACCGGUGGCGAAGG